CCUACGGGUGGCAGCAGUGGGGAAUAUUGCACAAUGGGCGAAACCCUGAUGCAGCGACGCCGCGUGAGUGAAGAAGUAUUUCGGUACGUAAAGCUCUAUCAGCAGGGAAGAAAAUGACGGUACCUGACUAAGAAGCCCCGGCUAACUACGUGCCAGCAGCCGCGGUAAUACGUAGGGGGCAAGCGUUAUCCGGAUUUACUGGGUGUAAAGGGAGCGUAGACGGCAGCGCAAGUCUGGAGUGAAAUCCCAUGGCUUAACCAUGGAACUGCUUUGGAAACUGUGCAGCUAGAGUGCAGGAGAGGUAAGCGGAAUUCCUAGUGUAGCGGUGAAAUGCGUAGAUAUUAGGAGGAACACCAGUGGCGAAGGCGGCUUACUGGACUGUAACUGACGUUGAGGCUCGAAAGCGUGGGGAGCAAACAGGAUUAGAUACCCCAGUAGUC
rnacentral:rRNA from 1 species